rnacentral:rRNA from 1 species
UACGAAGGGGGCUAGCGUUGCUCGGAAUCACUGGGCGUAAAGCGCGACGUAGGCGGAUUGUUAAGUCAGGGGUGAAAUCCUGGAGCUCAACUCCAGAACUGCCUUUGAUACUGGCGAUCUUGAGUCCGGGAGAGGUGAGUGGAACUGCGAGUGUAGAGGUGAAAUUCGUAGAUAUUCGCAAGAACACCAGUGGCGAAGGCGGCUCACUGGCCCGGUACUGACGCUGAGGUGCGAAAGCGUGGGGAGCAA